rnacentral:rRNA from 1 species
GACGAACGCUGGCGGCGUGCUUAACACAUGCAAGUCGAGCGGUAAGGCCCUUUCGGGGGUACACGAGCGGCGAACGGGUGAGUAACACGUGGGUGACCUGCCUUUAGCUCUGGGAUAAGCCUGGGAAACUGGGUCUAAUACCGGAUAUGACCCUAUGGCGCAUGUUGUGGGGUGGAAAGCCUUGUGCGGCUAGGGAUGGGCCCGCGGCCUAUCAGCUUGUUGGUGGGGUGAUGGCCUACCAAGGCGACGACGGGUAGCCGGCCUGAGAGGGCGACCGGCCACACUGGGACUGAGACACGGCCCAGACUCCCACGGGAGGCAGCAGUGGGGAAUCUUGCGCAAUGGGCGAAAGCCUGACGCAGCGACGCCGCGUGAGGGAUGACGGCCUCGG